rnacentral:rRNA from 1 species
AUUGAACGCUGGCGGCAGGCUUAACACAUGCAAGUCGAGCGGUAACAGAGAGAAGCUUGCUUCUCUGCUGACGAGCGGCGGACGGGUGAGUAAUGCCUAGGAAUCUGCCUAGUAGUGGGGGAUAACUUGCCGAAAGGUAAGCUAAUACCGCAUACGUCCUACGGGAGAAAGGAGGGGACCUUCGGGCCUUUCGCUAUUAGAUGAGCCUAGGUCGGAUUAGUUAGUUGGUGAGGUAAUGGCUCACCAAGACCGCGAUCCGUAACUGGUCUGAGAGGAUGAUCAGUCACACUGGAACUGAGACACGGUCCAGACUCCUACGGGAGGCAGCAGUGGGGAAUAUUGGACAAUGGGGGGAACUCUGAUCCAGCCAUGCCGCGUGUGUGAAGAAGGUCUUAGGAUUGUAAAGCACUUUAAGUUGGGAGGAAGAGCAGUUAACUAUUAUUUGACUGUUUUGACGUUACCGACAGAAUAAGCACCGGCUAACUUCGUGCCAGCAGCCGCGGUAA